CCGACGGGUGAGUAACACGUAUGCAAUCCACCUGUAACAGGGGAGUAACCGGAGAAAUCCGGACUAAUACCCAUAAUAUGGGCGCUCCGCAUGGAGAGUUCAUUAAAGAGAGCAAUUUUGGUUACAGACGAGCAUGCGCUCCAUUAGCCAGUUGGCGGGGUAACGGCCCACCAAGGCGACGAUGGAUAGGGGUUCUGAGAGGAAGGUCCCCCACAUUGGAACUGAGACACGGUCCAA
rnacentral:rRNA from 1 species